AAGAUCUUAUCUUAGCAAAAGAGUCUGAGUUGCAUUCAGAAGAUGUGAGUUGAUGUCUCGCAGGUCUUA
rnacentral:tRNA from 1 species